UUAAACGUGUAUCACGGGGGAGGGGGCUUGAGGCCAUGAUGACAUUGACUCCAAGUAUGAAAUAUCCUUUGAGAGAGUAGACAAAUAAAAUAAUAAAAAUAAAAAUAAGAACGGAAAUUGAUAUUUCUCUGUCCAACAUGAUCUGGCCUGUUUUGUUUUUUUCGUUAUGCCGAUUUCCAUUUAUUUAAUUAUUAAUACAUCCACCACACCCCAUUAUUGCCUAUAAAAAUCAGCCACCUACCUCCAAGAAAAGCUCUCAAAUAAAAUAAAAUAAAUAAAUAACAAAAAUAAUAAACGAGGUGUGUAUCUGUAUGAGAUCAUUGAGAUGUCGUGGAUGCGUUAAACGUGUUUAAUAAGAUAAUAUGAGAAAGACCAACCAAUUGGAUUAAGCUCUCAGUCCAUGUUACACAAAGCGUUGAAGAAAUCAAUGAUUUUAAUGACACCUUACACCUUGGGGUUUCCUCGCUUCCUCCUCUCCAUCUGUCUUUUUGUAUAUUAAAGCACUGCACUACUACUUUGUCCGCUAACUUUAGAAGUCCACUCUGAUUCUGUGUGUUUUUCUGUCUGGUGAGAGAAAGAAAGAAAGGAGAGAAAAUGUAUGCUCCUCCUGAGUACCAACAAGCGUCGUACGUUGAUCAUGUUAGACAUCAUGUUGAUCAUGUUAGACAUCAUGUUCAACAGCGACACGAGGAAAAAGGCUGCCUCUAUGCUUGUUUGUUCGCGCUGUGUUGCUGCUUCUGUUGCUUUGAGACUUGCGAAUGCUGUUUGGAUACUCUUUUCUGUUGCUGCUAGAGACGGCCAUCUGAUUUUGAUGGACAAAAAUAAGUAAAAUAAAUACGUAAAAGUUAAACUCUAUUAUUGCUGAUAUAUAAUAGAGCUCAUGUUUGUAAGGACAUAUGGGUCUGUAAAAGAGAAGACAGUUCAUGGUAGAUUCCAUCCUCUGUAUCCUCUUUUAUUGUUGUUAUUAUUGUUAUUUUUGAAUAAAAGAUAAGAAUUAGCUUAA